ensembl:snoRNA small nucleolar RNA SNORA57
CCUUCUCUUCUUGGUGGGGUCGGGCGUACGGUCUGGUGCCCUGAAGUACAGAGGAGAAUGAAAGGGCUCUGGCCACCUUGGCAUCCUGCCUUGGGUGCCAAUGGUUUCCAGUCUGCCAGUUCUAUCCUCAAGAGCCAGAAUGGAG